ensembl:snRNA U2 U2 spliceosomal RNA
GUCAUUUCUUGGCCUUUUGACUAAGAUCAAGUGUAGUAUCUGUUCUUAUCAGUUUAGUAUCUGAUAUGUUCUUUACCCAAAGACAAUAUAUUAAAAAGAAUUUUGGAGCUGGGAGAUGGAAUAGAAGCUUUCUCUAUUCAGUCUGCCCAUUGACCUGAUAUUGUAGUACUACAAGAAUGGUGCACCCCUC